CAUUUCCUUCUGGAUCUGCCACUAUGAAGUAUAACCUGGAAGGAAAAAAGAGUCUGCUGACCAACCCAGCUGAACUGCUAUGAUCACUAACAUCUGUGCUUUCAAGAGCAGUAAGACAAAAUGUCUAUCGCCUGUCCAACUGGUGAGAAAAGCAGUUUCUGACAAUGGAAUAUAUUCUUAAGGGAAAAUACAGAUCUGUGAAUGUUAUGCUCUCUCACUCCCUCAAUCUGGUCAAACUUGACAUCAAGUUUCUGCAAUGACUACUAUACCCAGCUUCUCUUUAAAAGCAGGCACUCCAGUUUUCCAUGACAAGACUGGAAGAAACCCAACACUUCCAAAUGGGACUGUUCUUUUCAAAAUUUUGGGGAGGGCAGGGGGGUACAUUUAUACUGUUAAGUAUGCUCUGCAUUCCAGUUUAAGGAAAUCGUUCAGAGAUGACAGAUUUUACACACUCUUCUCAAAUAUGGGUCAAGCUAGUCCCCAAUCUGUUCUACAUUAAAACAAAAAAACAAAAGGCAGAAUUUGCAUCAGGAAAAAAGGGCAGUAACAAGACUUGCUAAGAUUCCAACAAAGAAUUGACAUUAUUCAAAUCACACACUCAGUACUACAGCAUAUCCUGGAGACCCAGUGUGUUGUAGUGCUGACAGAGUUGGACUGAGAUUUUGGAAAACUGGAUUCUAGUACCCACUUAAACCAUGGAACUCACAGGUAAUUUUGGGCUUGUCAUGGUCUCUCAGGUUGACAUACCUCUCAGGAUUAUUGUGAAGAUAAAAUGGAGGAGAUCCUUGUAAGCUACCUUGAGUUCUUUACAAGGGGAAGGAUGGUGGGGCAUGACAACAAUAAUAAUAAUAAUGCCAAAAUAUGUCCAAUUCCUCAGAAAACAGAUCCACAACAUUAAUUUUUAUGCUUCAGCCGUGAAGUCUGUAGGCAAGUUGUUUCUUUACCUCUGCUCAAACUGCCUGGUGACCUAAACUUGGACUUUCACAGGGACUAUGUGAUUUGGCCCCCCAUAUAAAAAUCUAAAAAUAUAUUGUUAUCUGAAAAUGUAGCAGACUGAUGGGCGGGGCACCAGACAGUCAGUCAGUUAACACUGGUCUCCCACAAAGAAGGAACAAAACUGAGAAUGUGAAGAUGUUAUUUUAUCUUUGCUGGGAUUUUUAAUGUUCAAUGUUACGAUCAAUCAUUGCCUUGUUUGUUGUUUUAUUACUUUAUGUGCAUUCACUGAAGUUUAAUGCUAUUUUGUGAUAUUUUUUAUCAGACUAGA